rnacentral:rRNA from 1 species
CCUACGGGUGGCAGCAGUGGGGAAUAUUGCACAAUGGGGGAAACCCUGAUGCAGCGACGCCGCGUGAGUGAUGAAGUAAUUCGUGAUGUAAAGCUUUAUCAGUAGGGAAGAAAAUGACGGUACCUGAGUAUGAAGCCCUGGCUAACUACGUGCCAGCAGCCGCGGCAAUACGGCGGGGGCAAGCGUUAUCCGGAUUUACUGGGUGUAAAGGGAGCGUAGACGGGUGGGCAAGUCUGGAGUGAAAGGCGGGGGCUCAACCCUCGGACUGCUCUGGAAACUGUACGGCUGGAGUACAGGUGAGGUAAGUGGAAUUCCUAGUGUAGCGGUGAAAUGCGUAGAUAUUAGGAGGAACACCAGUGGCGAAGGCGGCUUACUAGACUGUAACUGACGUUGAUGCUCGAAAGCGUGGGGAGCAAACAGGAUUAGAUACCCGAGUAGUC